AUUGAACGCUGGCGGCAUGCCUUACACAUGCAAGUCGAACGGUAACAGGUCUUCGGAUGCUGACGAGUGGCGAACGGGUAAGUAACACAUCGGAACGUGCCUAGUAGUGGGGGGUAACUACUCGAAAGAGUGGCUAAUACCGCAUGAGAUCUACGGAUGAAAGCAGGGGAUCGCAAGACCUUGUGCUACUAGAGCGGCCGAUGGCAGAUUAGGUAGUUGGUGGGAUAAAAGCUUACCAAGCCGACGAUCUGUAGCUGGUCUGAGAGGACGAUCAGCCACACUGGGACUGAGAAACGGCCCAGACUCCUACGGGAGGCAGCAGUGGGGAAUUUUGGACAAUGGGCGCAAGCCUGAUCCAGCAAUGCCGCGUGCAGGAUGAAGGCCUUCGGGUUGUAAACUGCUUUUGUACGGAACGAAAAGCCCCGGGUUAAUACCCUGGGGUCAUGACGGUACCGUAAGAAUAAGCACCGGCUAACUACGUGCCAGCCGCCGCGGUAA
rnacentral:rRNA from 1 species